rnacentral:rRNA from 1 species
GACGAACCGUGCGAACGUUGUUCGGAAUCACUGGGCUUAAAGGGCGCGUAGGCGGGCUCGCAAGUUUGCGGUGAAAGCCCCCAGCUUAACUGGGGAAGUGCCGUGAAUACUGCGGGUCUUGAGGAGGGUAGGGGCAUCUGGAACAUUGGGUGGAGCGGUGAAAUGCGUUGAUAUCCAAUGGAACUCCGGUGGCGAAGGCGAGGUGCUGGACCCUUUCUGACGCUGAGGCGCGAAAGCCAGGGGAGCGAACGGG